UAGAAUGGGACAAACUGUGUCACAUACACAAC
rnacentral:piRNA from 1 species